UACGUAGGGUGCAAGCGUUAUCCGGAAUUAUUGGGCGUAAAGAGCUCGUAGGCGGUUUGUCGCGUCUGCUGUGAAAACUGGGGGCUCAACCCCCAGCCUGCAGUGGGUACGGGCAGACUAGAGUGCGGUAGGGGAGAUUGGAAUUCCUGGUGUAGCGGUGAAAUGCGCAGAUAUCAGGAGGAACACCGGUGGCGAAGGCGGAUCUCUGGGCCGAUACUGACGCUGAGGAGCGAAAGCGUGGGGAGCGAACAGG
rnacentral:rRNA from 1 species